AGAGUUUGAUCAUGGCUCAGAUUGAACGCUGGCGGCAGGCCUAACACAUGCAAGUCGAACGGUAACAGGAAGCAGCUUGCUGCUUUGCUGACGAGUGGCGGACGGGUGAGUAAUGUCUGGGAAACUGCCUGAUGGAGGGGGAUAACUACUGGAAACGGUAGCUAAUACCGCAUAACGUCGCAAGACCAAAGAGGGGGACCUUAGGGCCUCUUGCCAUCGGAUGUGCCCAGAUGGGAUUAGCUAGUAGGUGGGGUAAAGGCUCACCUAGGCGACGAUCCCUAGCUGGUCUGAGAGGAUGACCAGCCACACUGGAACUGAGACACGGUCCAGACUCCUACGGGAGGCAGCAGUGGGGAAUAUUGCACAAUGGGCGCAAGCCUGAUGCAGCCAUGCCGCGUGUAUGAAGAAGGCCUUCGGGUUGUAAAGUACUUUCAGCGGGGAGGAAGGGAGUAAAGUUAAUACCUUUGCUCAUUGACGUUACCCGCAGAAGAAGCACCGGCUAACUCCGUGCCAGCAGCCGCGGUAAUACGGAGGGUGCAAGCGUUAAUCGGAAUUACUGGGCGUAAAGCGCACGCAGGCGGUUUGUUAAGUCAGAUGUGAAAUCCCCGGGCUCAACCUGGGAACUGCAUCUGAUACUGGCAAGCUUGAGUCUCGUAGAGGGGGGUAGAAUUCCAGGUGUAGCGGUGAAAUGCGUAGAGAUCUGGAGGAAUACCGGUGGCGAAGGCGGCCCCCUGGACGAAGACUGACGCUCAGGUGCGAAAGCGUGGGGAGCAAACAGGAUUAGAUACCCUGGUAGUCCACGCCGUAAACGAUGUCGACUUGGAGGUUGUGCCCUUGAGGCGUGGCUUCCGGAGCUAACGCGUUAAGUCGACCGCCUGGGGAGUACGGCCGCAAGGUUAAAACUCAAAUGAAUUGACGGGGGCCCGCACAAGCGGUGGAGCAUGUGGUUUAAUUCGAUGCAACGCGAAGAACCUUACCUGGUCUUGACAUCCACGGAAGUUUUCAGAGAUGAGAAUGUGCCUUCGGGAACCGUGAGACAGGUGCUGCAUGGCUGUCGUCAGCUCGUGUUGUGAAAUGUUGGGUUAAGUCCCGCAACGAGCGCAACCCUUAUCCUUUGUUGCCAGCGGUCCGGCCGGGAACUCAAAGGAGACUGCCAGUGAUAAACUGGAGGAAGGUGUGGAUGACGUCAAGUCAUCAUGGCCCUUACGACCAGGGCUACACACGUGCUACAAUGGCGCAUACAAAGAGAAGCGACCUCGCGAGAGCAAGCGGACCUCAUAAAGUGCGUCGUAGUCCGGAUUGGAGUCUGCAACUCGACUCCAUGAAGUCGGAAUCGCUAGUAAUCGUGGAUCAGAAUGCCACGGUGAAUACGUUCCCGGGCCUUGUACACACCGCCCGUCACACCAUGGGAGUGGGUUGCAAAAGAAGUAGGUAGCUUAACCUUCGGGAGGGCGCUUACCACUUUGUGAUUCAUGACUGGGGUGAAGUCGUAACAAGGUAACCGUAGGGGAACCUGCGGUUG
rnacentral:rRNA from 1 species